rnacentral:rRNA from 1 species
CCGAUAGCGUAUAUUAAAGUUGUUGCAGUUAAAAAGCUCGUAGUUGAAUUUUAGGCCUGGCCGGACGGUCCGUCUUUGGCGAGUACUGUUCUGUUGUCGGGUCUUCCUUCUGGUGAACCAGUAUGUCCUUAAUUGGAUGUGUUGGGGAGCCAGGACCAUUACCUUGAAAAAAUUAGAGUGUUUAAAGCGGGCUAUUGCUUGAAUAGAUUAGCAUGGAAUAAUAGAAUAGGACGUUGUGGUUCUAUUUUGUUGGUUUCUAGGACCACCGUAAUGAUUAAUAGUGAUAGUUGGGGGCAUUAGUAUUCAAUUGUCAGAGGUGAAAUUCUUGGAUUUAUUGAAGACUAACUAUUGCGAAAGCAUUUGCCAAGGAUGUUUUCAUUAAUCAAGAACGAAAGUUAGGGGAUCGAAGACGAUCAGAUACCGUCGUAGUCUUAACCAUAAACUAUGCCGACUAGGAAUCGGGCGACGUUAUUUUCACGACUCGCUCGGCGCCUUAUG